rnacentral:rRNA from 1 species
GACGAACGCUGGCGGCGUGCUUAACACAUGCAAGUCGAACGGUGAUGCUCCAGCUUGCUGGAGUGGGUCAGUGGCGAACGGGUGAGUAACACGUGAGCAACCUGCCCCAGACUCUGGAAUAAGCGCUGGAAACGGCGUCUAAUACUGGAUACGAAACUGGCCCGCAUGGGCAUGGUUUGGAAAGUUUUUCGGUUUGGGAUGGGCUCGCGGCCUAUCAGCUUGUUGGUGAGGUAAUGGCUCACCAAGGCGACGACGGGUAGCCGGCCUGAGAGGGCGACCGGCCACCCUGGGACUGAGACACGGCCCAGACUCCUACGGGAGGCAGCAGUGGGGAAUAUUGCACCAUGGGCGAAAGCCUGAUGCAGCGACGCCGCGUGAGGGAUGACGGCCUUCGGGUUGUAAACCUCUUUCAGCAGGGAAGAAGCGAAAGUGACGGUACCUGCAGAAGAAGCACCGGCUAACUACGUG